rnacentral:lncRNA from 1 species
CCGUGAUCAAGACUGACACCGGGAAGGCUGCCAGUAUGUAGUAUGAUCCUCAUCUCCUCCAACUUACGUUUUGGUAGCACGUCUCCAUCGUUGUAAGGACAAAUUUCUAGCUUUCACAGUCCUACUCUACUAUACCGUGCUUGACCAUUCCUCUUCCAUUCAGGUCUACAGUUGUGCACUCAAUUCAAAUGAUUAUUCUCCGUUCUUUGCCUCAGAACUACAUAUGAGAGGUACAAAGGGUUGGCCAAGAUACUCAAUUAAGUUAUCCGAUUUAAGGUAUACUUCUAUCGCUUCCUUCUAUCCAUUUUGUUCAUCUUCUCAUGUGUAUUGUUAGCUUUUUCUCAAGCUUUUUUUAUCUAAAACCUCAAAUUUAAGUAUAUUUUGCUGAUUAGUGAGUAAAUCAACCGACAAUAGUUGGUAUAUAUUUGUUGUAUGUUUGAUGUCACCUAUUCAUUCUUUUUUUUGAGAUGCUCUGUUUUUACAAUGCAGAAUUUGUUUCUUCAUAACUAUAUUACCGCUUACAUUGCUGGCAAUGGAAACUAAAGAAAUCCUUGAGGCUACUUGUGAAGCUCUAUUGUUGAUGCCAGAUUUGUACAUUUGAUUAGUGUUAUAUCCAUGUAUAGAUACAGAUUUUGUUGAAGCUAUAUUUUGUAACUAUAUUACAAAAGUGUCUCUAUAGAUUUGAACCACAAAAUAGUUAUAGAUGCUCAUAUAAUUUUCAGUGUCGUGUAUGGGUGUUUUUUGUGUAGUUUUGUUGAUCUGCUUACAUUUUCAGCAUUUAUAGUAUUGCUAUAUCUCAAUAAAAUAGUGAACACAUAUAAAUAUAUGCAAGGUAUAAUCGGUUAAUUUUGGUACUAAUCCAUUGAUCCUUUGUUACAUUCCAGUAGUAAGGGUACCGGCGCCCAAAUAAAUUCAGGAGCACUGCAAAAUUCAAGUUGAUGGCUGAUGUGCCUUGUUGUUUUACAGUAUGAUAGUUGUUGAAAGUAUGUUCUAGAAUGCAGGUGAUGGGCUGCUGAUUUAUGUUGUCCACUUCUCUUGAUUUUUACUGACUUGUGUUGAUUUCUAUUGUAUGCAAUAGCAGCCUUCGUGCCAUCGAUAGAUUCUGCUGGUUUCUACCUCCAUGCUGCUUAAACUAAUUACCUCCUCAAUUAUACGCCAUGGCAGGUAAAUUCUCAUCUUAUUAGUCCUUGCUAUUUGAUUUACUCAGCACCAAUAAGGAUGAUAGUAACUGUGUGAUCUUAUUUGCAGGGCAGAUGAUUGUGUGCAAGGAAGGAAAGAUGCAAACAAUUUGAGUUCCCAGUUUGUACAGCCCUGAGGAUUGGAAGGUCGUGCUGUUGUCUACUUGUCUCUUUCAUUCCGUUACAACCUGCUGUUCUUGCUCAGUUGUGUCCAUCAAGGAUAUGUUCUUUGAAUUUAGAUGAUGCACGGAUAAAUAACUCUUAUGUGACAAUGCAAAUGAAGGGUGCAGUGGCUCAGCCCUUUAGAUUGUUGGCGAUAAUAUUGGAGUAUAAAUAAAUACAAGUUGUUAACAACAACAGAAUUUUUUGGCUCAAUAUAUCCUUAUGAACGAGGGUUUGUAUAAUUUUCGGCAUUCCUUUGCCUGUAGCAAUAGCUAUUGUAUUUAGU